GUCCUACGGGAGGCAGCAGUGGGGGAUAUUGCACAAUGGGCGAAAGCCUGAUGCAGCGACGCCGCGUGAGUGAAGAAGUAUUUCGGUAUGUAAAGCUCUAUCAGCAGGGAAGAAAAUGACGGUACCUGACUAAGAAGCCCCGGCUAACUACGUGCCAGCAGCCGCGGUAAUACGUAGGGGGCAAGCGUUAUCCGGAUUUACUGGGUGUAAAGGGAGCGUAGACGGCUGUGCAAGUCUGAAGUGAAAUGCCGGGGCUCAACCCCGGAACUGCUUUGGAAACUGUACAGCUAGAGUGCAGGAGGGGG
rnacentral:rRNA from 1 species